rnacentral:lncRNA from 1 species
GUCUGAGUUAUAAGGCUGCAUCUAGAAAUGGAACUGGAAAAUAGCCUAUCACUGAGUUUAUUUCCCAUGGAAAAAAAGUCAGGAUUAUUUUAGCAAGAAAGGAGGGUGACAGCCAUUAGGAAAAGAAGGUGCGGCAGGUCGGAUGCUCACUUGAAGUCAAAAGCCCAAGAAAAGCAGCUGAGCUCCCCUUGGGAGCAACAGUGAGAAGAUAAUCAGCGCUCCCUUAAAUAACUUCAAAGUCAGGAGAGCCAGAAGAGAAAUGCGCUCCUGGGACAGGAAACCCCACACAGAGGUCCAGCUGCCAGGUCAUCCUCUGGCUUCCCAGCCAAGGGAAGGACCGCAGCCCAGCCAGACACAGGGUCUGGCUCUAAUGACAUUACUGAGUGUUGGCUCCACGUCCUCGGACAACGGACAGGUCGUGUGGGUGAGCGGUGAAAAGCAGGACCCCCAUGCCUGGAUGGCUGCCCUUCCAGCAGCCCCACACCUCGGCCUCCCUCCUCCUCAGGGCUCCCAGAGGAGCCCUCAGGUGGCCCCAGUCCCUCUCCAUCCCUUUCCCCACGGUGACUUUCUGCACUUAGCAACAUUGGUUUGUGUGCUUGGAUCUGGUUCUUCUCCCCUCUGAGAACCUUAAAUUCCAUGAAGACAGAGAUUUUGUCUAUUUGGGGACAUCACCGAUCUUCACUGCUAACCCUGCGCUCGGUAGAUAUUUUAAUAAGUAGGUGAUGAGCCAACUGAAUAAGUGACUGUGUGCAUGUAAAUCUGCACAUCUCUGUCCACACGUGAACACACACACGCACACACAGAGAUCUCAGUGUGAGAAGAAGUUCCAGCACGCUGUCCCAGAAUCCCGGAGAUGCACACAAGCCAAGGGGGCCAUCGGAGAGCCCGGUUCUUAGCAGAUGUCAGUCUGCAUAGCAAGGCAUGUGGGGUAGGGCAAUGAAAUUUAAUGUUCAAAUCGCAC